AUUACAGUCAAAACAGUCGGAAAUUCUAGAACAGUCAAUAAAAUUAUUUGAACAAUACGGAGCUGCAAGCACUAUUGGAACGCAAAAAGCUGGGAAAAAGUUCGGUGAUGUUUUCAAUAUAAUUGAUUCAUGGCGGAAAUAAUAUGCAACGGUUCUAAUUCGUAAUUGUUAUGGUAAAUAAUAAAAAGUUAUACUAAUCCAUAAAUAGUGAAUAUAUGAUGUAUGACAAAUGAA